GAUGAACGCUGGCGGCGUGCCUAAUACAUGCAAGUCGAGCGAAUGGAUUAAGAGCUUGCUCUUAUGAAGUUAGCGGCGGACGGGUGAGUAACACGUGGGUAACCUGCCCAUAAGACUGGGAUAACUCCGGGAAACCGGGGCUAAUACCGGAUAACAUUUUGGACCGCAUGGUUCGAAAUUGAAGGGCGGCUUCGGCUGUCACUUAUGGAUGGACCCGCGUCGCAUUAGCUAGUUGGUGAGGUAACGGCUCACCAAGGCAACGAUGCGUAGCCGACCUGAGAGGGUGAUCGGCCACACUGGGACUGAGACACGGCCCAGACUCCUACGGGAGGCAGCAGUAGGGAAUCUUCCGCAAUGGACGAAAGUCUGACGGAGCAACGCCGCGUGAGUGAUGGAGGCUUUCGGGUCGUAAAACUCUGUUGUUAGGGAAGAACAAGUGCUAGUUGAAUAAGCUGGCACCUUGACGGUACCUAACCAGAAAGCCACGGCUAACUACGUGCCAGCCGCCGCGGUAA
rnacentral:rRNA from 1 species